rnacentral:tRNA from 1 species
GUGGGCGUGCCGGAGUGGUUAUUGGGCUUGAUUAGGAAUCAGAUGUGGACUUUGCCCGUGCAGGUUCGAAUCCUGCUGCUCACG